AAAAAUUGGCACACUUAUGUAUUCAAUAAAAUGUUAAGUUUUGUAUUUCGUAAAGUAUCAAAAUAAUCAAUUUAAUGUUUUUUCUCAGGCUAACAUGAUCAAGAAGACUGGAACUACCGUAGUUGGCACAAAUAAAAAGAAUUGAGUAUGUUUGAAAAAAACUACAAGAUCUUUCUUUUCUUUCAAAAGGAGGAAAAAUUCAUGUAUAUAAUUACUGUUUUUGCAUCAAUUCUUUAAUAUUUGUGUUUUUAGAAAAAUUCAACUAGUCAUUUUUGAUAUCCCAAAUUGUUCUAGUUAAUGGGGGUCUAAUUCUAUUAUUAUAUAGUUAUAAAUUUUCUUGUGUGCAUUUCUUGUGCAGAAUUUGUAAGGAAAUUGAGGUCAAGUAUCGACUUCAACAUGCUCGACUUUUGGAUUGACGAUUUCAUAAAAGUUUAUUGCAAAUUUACUGGAGAUUUUUAUUCCAUUUGAAUUAGGAGUUAAUUAGUUGGUUUUAUGUUGAGAUUAUUAUAUUUAGUUAGUUCUCAAUUUUACUUGAGAUAGAAAAGAUAAUUUGUUUUGACAUUGUUUACUUUUACAGAAAAUUUAUUAUAUUGCUAUUUUGCUAUUUGAUUAUAAUAUUAGAAAAUAUUUGCUUUAUAUAAUAUUUCUUGCUUAUCAGGAAGAAGAUAGUUUUGAAUGAAUUGUUUGUAUGUAUAUGUGUCUUCAGAAAAACUAUACUAUAUAGAUUUUUCUGGAAUGUUUAAAGAAAUUUGGUAACGACAUUAGAAUAUUAAUAUGACAUUUAGCAAAAUAUAAAAUAAUGUCACCAAUUUUUAUGACAUUCAAUAAUAGCAUUUGUUGACAUUAACUAAAGUGUCAGAAAUUUCAAUGUGUCAUUUUAUAAAUGUCACAAGUAAGUGUCUUGAAAUUUGUUUUACCAACAUUUAAUCUAAAU
rnacentral:lncRNA from 1 species